rnacentral:rRNA from 1 species
UACGUAGGGUGCAAGCGUUGUCCGGAAUUAUUGGGCGUAAAGAGCUCGUAGGCGGUUUGUAGCGUCUGCUGUGAAAACUCGGGGCUUAACUCCGGGCCUGCAGUGGGUACGGGCAGACUAGAGUGCGGUAGGGGAGACUGGAAUUCCUGGUGUAGCGGUGAAAUGCGCAGAUAUCAGGAGGAACACCGGUGGCGAAGGCGGGUCUCUGGGCCGUAACUGACGCUGAGGAGCGAAAGCGUGGGGAGCGAACAGG